AGAACGAACGCUGGCGGCAUGCCUAAUACAUGUAAGUCGAACGAACUCUUCGGAGUUAGUGGCGCACGGGUGCGUAACGCGUGGGAAUCUGCCCCUUGGUUCGGAAUAACAGUUGGAAACGACUGCUAAUACCGGAUGAUGACGAAAGUCCAAAGAUUUAUCGCCAAGGGAUGAGCCCGCGUAGGAUUAGCUAGUUGGUGAGGUAAAGGCUCACCAAGGCAACGAUCCUUAGCUGGUCUGAGAGGAUGAUCAGCCACACUGGGACUGAGACACGGCCCAGACUCCUACGGGAGGCAGCAGUAGGGAAUAUUGGACAAUGGGCGAAAGCCUGAUCCAGCAAUGCCGCGUGAGUGAUGAAGGCCUUAGGUUGUAAAGCUCUUUACCCGAGAUGAUAAUGACAGUAUCGGAGAAUAAGCCCCGGAUAACUCCGUAGCCAGCAGCCGC
rnacentral:rRNA from 1 species